rnacentral:tRNA from 1 species
GCCACAAUAGCUCAGUUGGUAGAGCGCCUGCUUGAAGUACAGGAGGUGGACCGUUCGAAACGGUCUUGUGGCA